rnacentral:rRNA from 1 species
AGUGAACGCUGGCGGUAGGCCUAACACAUGCAAGUCGAACGGCAGCACAGUAAGAGCUUGCUCUUACGGGUGGCGAGUGGCGGACGGGUGAGGAAUACAUCGGAAUCUACUUUUUCGUGGGGGAUAACGUAGGGAAACUUACGCUAAUACCGCAUACGACCUACGGGUGAAAGCAGGGGAUCUUCGGACCUUGCGCGAUUGAAUGAGCCGAUGUCGGAUUAGCUAGUGUGCGGGGUAAAGGCCCACCAAGGCGACGAUCCGUAGCUGGUCUGAGAGGAUGAUCAGCCACACUGGAACUGAGACACGGUCCAGACUCCUACGGGAGGCAGCAGUGGGGAAUAUUGGACAAUGGGCGCAAGCCUGAUCCAGCCAUACCGCGUGGGUGAAGAAGGCCUUCGGGUUGUAAAGCCCUUUUGUUGGGAAAGAAAAGCAGCAGGUUAAUACCCCGCUGUUCUGACGGUACCCAAAGAAUAAGCACCGGCUAACUUCGUG